rnacentral:rRNA from 1 species
UGUUCGUGAAAUCUCACGGCUUAACUGUGAGCGUGCGGGCGAUACGGGCAGACUUGAGUACUGCAGGGGAGACUGGAAUUCCUGGUGUAGCGGUGGAAUGCGCAGAUAUCAGGAGGAACACCGGUGGCGAAGGCGGGUCUCUGGGCAGUAACUGACGCUGAGGAGCGAAAGCGUGGGGAGCGAACAGGAUUAGAUACCCUGGUAGUCCACGCCGUAAACGGUGGGUACUAGGUGUGGGUUUCCUUCCUUGGGAUCCGUGCCGUAGCUAACGCAUUAAGUACCCCGCCUGGGGAGUACGGCCGCAAGGCUAAAACUCAAAGAAAUUGGCGGGGGCCCGCACAAGCGGCGGAGCAUGUGGAUUAAUUCGAUGCAACGCAAAGAACCUUACCUGGGUUUGACAUGCACAGGACGCCGGCAGAGAUGUCGGUUCCCUUGUGGCCUGUGUGCAGGUGGUGCAUGGCUGUCGUCAGCUCGUGUCGUGAGAUGUUGGGUUAAGUCCCGCAACGAGCGCAACCCUUGUCUCAUGUUGCCAGCGGGUAAUGCCGGGGACUCGUGAGAGACUGCCGGGGUCAACUCGGAGGAAGGUGGGGAUGACGUCAAGUCAUCAUGCCCCUUAUGUCCAGGGCUUCACACAUGCUACAAUGGCCGGUACAAAGGGCUGCGAUGCCG